rnacentral:rRNA from 1 species
GACAGAGGGUGCGAACGUUGUUCGGAAUUACUGGGCGUAAAGCGCAUGUAGGCUGUCUUGCAAGUCGGGUGUGAAAGCCCAGGGCUCAACCCUGGAAGUGCACUCGAAACUGCAAGACUAGAAUCUCGGAGAGGGUAGCGGAAUUCUGGGUGUAGAGGUGAAAUUCGUAGAUAUCCAGAGGAACACCGGUGGCGAAGGCGGCUACCUGGACGAGUAUUGACGCUGAGAUGCGAAAGCGUGGGGAGCAAACAGG